rnacentral:rRNA from 1 species
AAUCAACGCUGGCGGCGUGCCUCAGACAUGCAAGUCGAACGUGAAAGUUCCUUCGGGAAUGAGUAAAGUGGCGCACGGGUGAGUAACACGUGGGUAAUUUGCCUUCGGGUGGGGAAUACCAACCGGAAACGGUUGUUAAUACCGCAUGAUGCAGCGGCUCGACAUCGAGACAGUUGUUAAAGCGGGGGAGGCGGAGCAAUCCGUCCUCGCGCCUGAAGAGAAGCCCGCCGGCGGAUUAGGAGUUGGUGAGGUAAUGGCUCACCAAGCCGCCGAUCCGUAACCGACCUGAGAGGGUGGUCGGUCACACUGACACUGACAUACGGGUC